rnacentral:ncRNA from 1 species
UAAAAGUUUGGCCCUGGCUUUUUAAUAUAAUAAGAACUAAAAAAUACACAUGGUUUCUUUUGAACGUAGUGAGGAUGAAUGAAGAAAUAUUGGUCAAUAUAUAAUUCCUGUAAUUUCUUUAUUAUUAAUAUUAUUUAAUAUAUAAUGUAUUGAAACGUCCCACUAGACACCAGUGAUUAAGAUUAAAUUAAAAGUGAAAGCUUGUUUUAGUUUAGUUCAGAGAACAGGUAAAUUUGGUGCCAGCAUCCGCGGUUAGACCAAAUGUUCGAGUUAUAUAUUUAGGUUAAAAGGUGGUUAAAUGUAGUCUUAAAUUAUAAAAUUUUAUAUAUAAAAGUAAAAUUUGAAUAUAUAAAAAAAUCCUUUUUAUGAUUAACAAUAUUGAAUCCGCGAAAAUUUUGAGGGAAACUGGGAUUAGAUACCCCAUUAUUCUUAAAAAUAAAAUUUAUAUUAUAUAUUUACCUGAGUACUAUGAAUAUCUAAUAAAUUUAAAACUCAAAGGGCUUGGCGGUGUUCUAGACUUUUUAGGGGAACCUGUCUCGUAAUCGACAAUCCACGUUAAACCUAACCUUAGUUUGUCAUAUCAGUAUGUAUACCGUCGUCGGCAGGUAACUUUUAAGAAAGUAAUAGUUAGCAAAAAAAUAAUAAUAUAUUAAGACGUCAGAUCAAGGUGCAGCUAAUACUAGGGUGAGGAUGGGUUACAAUUAUUAAUUAUAAUUACGAAUAAAAAAGUGAAAUCUUUCUUUGAAGGAGGACUUAAAAGUAAAUAUCAAAAUAAAAAGAUUUAUUGAAUAUAGCUCUGGAACGUGCACACAUCGCCCGUCGCUCUCGUUGAAAAAUGAGAUAAGUCGUAACACAGUAGGGGUAAUGGAAAUUGUCCCUAGCUGAAA